UGAUUAAACCAAGAUGAAGACAGUGCCCAGCACCGAUGGUUCUUUGAGUCAUAGUUAC
rnacentral:snoRNA from 1 species